GAGGUACUCGAGUGGCGAACGGGUGAGUAACACGUGGGUGAUCUGCCCUGCACUCUGGGAUAAGCCUGGGAAACUGGGUCUAAUACCGGAUAGGACCAUGCUUUAGUGUGUGUGGUGGAAAGUUUUUUCGGUGUAGGAUGAGCCCGCGGCCUAUCAGCUUGUUGGUGGGGUAAUGGCCUACCAAGGCGGUGACGGGUAGCCGGACUGAGAGGUUGGUCGGCCACAUUGGGACUGAGAUACGGCCCAGACUCCUACGGGAGGCAGCAGUGGGGAAUAUUGCACAAUGGGCGCAAGCCUGAUGCAGCGACGCCGCGUGGGGGAUGACGGCCUUCGGGUUGUAAACUCCUUUCGCCAGGGACGAAGCGUUUUGUGACGGUACCUGUAGAAGAAGCACCGGCU
rnacentral:rRNA from 1 species